GGCUCGUUGAACUGAGCCGGUGGAGAGGGCCCUGCUCCUCUCACCUGCGGAUCCCGUACAUCAUGGGCAGUUUCCCGUAAAGGGUCCUUUUGAGAAGUUCCAUCUCACCACGUGUGAACUGGGAUCGGCUCCCACAGUGUUGAAUGAGCCUUGAAUUUGAUGGCUUCUCCAUUUUCUCAACCAACACCACCUGCCCACGCUGACAAUGACAGAUGGGCUUUUUCAGGGGGUGUCGUCGCCAUUCCCGCAGCCUGGGGGGAGGCAGGGUACCUGGCCACAGAAGGCCAAGUAGAAAUCUGGAGAAGAUGUGAGGACGGUGGUAAUUGGAAGGAGGGGCGUUGGCCUGAGCACCCACUGCAGGAGGCAAGACCAGCCUCCCUGCCCUAGCUGGAGUGAAUAUGGCUCCUCCCCGCACACUCAGACAUCCCCUUGGUUCCUUGUUUGUUCUUCAGGGCCACCUACAGAUGGGCACCCCCACUCUAACCCAACCUCCCCAGUGAUUAGAACCACUGACUCCUGCCUCCCAGGCCCACCCCCAUGGAAGGCCCCUACAGAAGCCAAACAUAGGCACCUUAGACUCUGGCAUACUGAGCCAUGCCCUGAUCCCACCUCACCUU